GUUGGUUUCACAUUCAUUUCGGUUUGUAAUAAAAAAUCAGCUGGCUGAAAAGGUUAAAGCUGUAUGUCACAGCAGCGUGUGGUGACUGUUGCUGGCUGGGCUGGCUAUUUGUGACAGUGGUCUCCCCCAACGUGCAAACAUUUGUGGCUGAGAGGUGUUGCAAACUGCAAGUCAAAAUAACCACCGGCUCCCACUUGAAACAACAGCUUUGAAACAACAGCUUUGCAAAGCUGCUGUUAAUUUUCUUGCUGCUUGUUGCAAAUAGACUUGUGUGAAUUGUGUCAUAGGUUUCCUAUCCAGAAACAAACCCUCUGUUAAACUGUUUCAACAAAAACUGAACAUUAUAAUCUUCAUUAGGGGGAGUAUUUAUUGCAGGAUUGUUGUAUUAGACUGUGUUACUCUAAAGAGUGUAGAAUAUUAUAUAAUGGUUUUUAAGGUCAUACUUGAGCAUUCAGCUAUGGCAGUUGUGUGGUAGCAUUAAUGGGGUUUGCAGAAUGUGUCUUUGUUUCAGUACAACAGCCUUCAGUAUGGGAACACACAUGCACACACUUCCUAAAAAUCUAAUUUCCUGCAAGAUUCUUGUAGAUUUGGUGAGAUUUUCCAGUAAAUACUGCGACCUCAAUUUCACUCAGCCGUACUAUAUACAAGGGCAACAGAUUAUAUUCUGCUGUAGGUGUUUUAACCUUUUCACCUGCCUGAACCUAUUGCCAGAUAUCUGCCCUAUUAAAUCUACAGUUCACCUGCAUCCCUCCUGCCUCACCCCUUUUGGAUUUGUACUGACCAUAAAACAAGUUUUUACUCUGUUAUCUGAACUCUGACACUGUAGGUGAAAACAGAUAAACAGUACCCCUGCUUAUCAUGUGCCACACUAACAUCGCCAGCAAUUAAAUAUCCUCCUGACUAAAUCUUAUAGUACAGCCUUAUUCCUUUUUCCUUAUGGACCAUGGUAGAUAUGACACAUUUAUCUCACAUCGAACUCUUUGUUUGUCUAGAAAACAGAGCAGUGGGCUCAAUCGAUCUGCUGGGUAUGAUGGAAAUAAUAUGGUAGUCUGGAUAUCUACUGCUCAGGGCAUGCUGUGGGUAAAGCUUUUUCUUCAUUUGGCUGCAAGGCAGAAUGGCUCAUACUGUGAUCAUUCAUCAAAACAGACAUACCCAGAGGAGGUCAUUUGCUGGAAAAUAAACCUAAAAACAUGGUCGAAGUUAAAUGUUAAGAUUUGUCUCAUAAAUAAUUUGUCUGGAGAAAAGAGUUUGAGCAUGAUGUCUAACCAGAUGAAAAACAGCAACUACCUGAUGUUAACCUUUGUCACGUUCACUUCAUCGUCUCAGUGCAGCUUUUAAUCUAUUCAGUCAGAGUGUGUUUUGAAUUAGAUUGUACCAAUAUGCUGUU